GCUAACUGUUCCGUGUAUCGUCGUGCAUUACCUCUUGAAACGUGGUCUCGACAAGUGUUAGAAGAUAUACAUCGUAAUAAUACUUCACGCUUAUUAGAGCAAACAGGGAGAUGACGACAGGGAACGAGCGAGAGAGAGAGAAAGAUAGAGAGAGAGAGAGAGAGAGAGAGAGAGAGAGAGUGAGAAAGACGAUAAAUAAGGAUGACGAUUCAACUUCGUCGUUGUCGUUAGACGUCAAUGAUGGCAACGACGACGAUGGUACUGGACGACGGCAACUGACGACGACGACGCCGAGCGAUGCCGAUAAGACAUGCGAUUUAAAUUAGAUUUAAAAGAGAUCGAAGAUUUCAUCAAAUAAUAAAUCGUCAUCCA